AAGCGGGCCAAAUCGCAGCAGCUUUAAACCUGUACAAAACAGGGUUACAGUAGUUCAGUUCUACUCCUACAAGUGUAGGAGCAGAUAGUGUCCAGGUUCCUAAGCUGGGAGGAUCUUGUUUCUCUUAACAUUUGCAGCCUCUAGAGAUUCCCAAGGGAGGAGCUGAGCUUCACUACUGUUCCUUUGCUGCGCUCCUUGCUAGGAACACAGCAGAUGGAACUGUCCUUGGGGCCCCACCGCCAGUAGUGCUAGGUGCUUUUUCCCCUGCAUGUAGCAGCUGAUUCUGCAGAACAAGGACGGAGAGACUCAUUGUGAAAGUUUGCAACGUUUCAGCGAUAACAUGCACUGUACAGAGGGGUUGUGCACCGCCCACCCUCAGUUCAGCAAUCAUGUGCAUCAGCACCCAGGGACCACGGCCAAGCACUUUGCUCCCAUGCUGCCAGACCUGCAGCACCUGGGUUCUGGGGGUCAAGGGCUCCCGGCUGGCUGGGAUGCAGACCUGAUGACAGCCCCUGACUCCUCCUGGUGGGCCUUUCCAGAGAGGUGCCCUGGGGUCGGGCCCUUGAUGCCCAUGGGCUGUGACCCACGUGUGUCCCUGGUCAGAAUCACCCACAUGCGCCACAACAAGCUGUUUGAGUGCUCCAAGGACUGCCCAUCCUGCUAUGCCGGGCUGUUGCUGAUCACAGUGGUUUCCUGGGUGCAGCUGAGAACCUGGCAUGGGGCCCUGCUCUUUGACAGUACCCCAGGCAAGCCCACAUUUCCCCACAAUGUGCACCACCACCUGGAGGGGUAUCUCUGCUUAUGCAUGUUAUGAGUGCCUGACCUCUCUGGCCAUGGAGAUUGCUACCAUCACCAAGUUUCUCUGCAUGUGAUGGGCCCUGACUGCCUAGCUGGGAGCCUGAUGGAAACUUAAUAAAGUCCUGAACUGACUCCCACCUCCCUGCACGUUGUGGGGAAGAAACUCCAGUGGUUGGGGCAGGUGGAAGGAGCUUAGCCAAGGAAGGUGAGGAAAGGAAGGGAGGGCUCCCCUGCCCCUCAGGCAACCCAGGGAUGGGUGGGUGGGUGAGCUGGUGUGGGUAUGCGUGGGCAUGGCACCCCCCACAGCCCUCCUCCCUGUGUGGGGUUUACCUGGUGGGUGUGUUAGCCACUCCCUACAGCAGAUGCUGUCCCUAGCCGCAGAGAUGAUGCCUGGCUGGGCAAUGUACCCCAGGGCAGCGAGCCCUAGUUCAGGGCCAGCCAGGCAACACCGUCCUCCUGCAACAAGCUGGAGCUGGCAUCCACAGGGGAUGCCGGCUUGUAAGAUAAAGUGACACUUCCAGUUUCUCCGAGCCCCCAAGGCCUGGGGCAAAGCAGCCUGUGCUGCCGAGCCCCCACGGCCUGGGGGCAUAACAGACUGCAGGGCCCACAGG